rnacentral:rRNA from 1 species
UGUUUAUCAAAAACAUGGCUCUUUGUAUAUUGAAGAUAGAGAGUCGGACCUGCCCGGUGAAUUUUUUAACGGCCGCGGUACUCUGACCGUGCAAAGGUAGCAUAAGUAAAUUUGCCUUAUAAUUGAAGGCUAGAAUGAAUGGUUUGACAAAAAUACAACUGUCUCUUUACAAUUACAUAAAAUUUUAUCUGCAGUUGAAGAAGCCUGCAUUUGAAUAAAAGACAAGAAGACCCUAUCGAGCUUAAAAAAAACUGGUGGAAUAACAAACUUAAUCCUAACUUAUAAAUAAAUAAAUAGUCAACUACUGGAAAUUUUGGUUGGGGCGACCGGGGAACAAAAAAAACUUCCUUUAUAAAAAUUUAGAUGCCCAAAUAUUGAUCCAGCAUUAUAUGAUUAAAGAAAUUAGUUACCGUAGGGAUAACAGCAUUAUCUUUUUUAAGAGUUCUUAUCGAAAAAAACGUUUGUGACCUCGAUGUUGGACCAGAAUAUCCUAAAGAUGCAGCCGUCUUUAAGGGUUGGUCUGUUCGACCAUUAAAAUUCUACGUGAUCUGAGUUCACACCGG